CCUCCAAAGUAAGCCGACUCGAAGGGGCAGCCAAGCCAAGCAUUCCCCUAGGGUUUAGCCCAAAACCCUGUAAUUUCAUUUCAACAGUAAAUCUUUUCUCCAUUAGCAUACAUCCUGAACGAUUCUCCUUUUCCAUGGCCAUCGCCGCCGCUAGAUCCAUUUUCCGGUCACCGUCCCUGCGCAAUGCCGCAUCAAGGAUCGCAUCGGAGGCUAAAGCAGCUCGAUCUCCCUUGCGCACGCCUUCUAAAAGUCCUCUAUCUCAUCGCAUCUUCAGGUGUCCUUCUGAGAUGAGCGCUUGUUUGGAGUCGCUGCAACCAUACCACACCGUCACUGCUUCAGCUUUGAUGACUUCUAUGCUUACUGACUCUCUCCGUAGUUACAGUUGGCUCUCAGAAGGUAUCUAGCAAGACCUAUAGGACCCUCAUUUGAUGUCUUUUCCUCAUUUACUACUUUGCCCAAAAUGAAGACGUGUGAUGAUUUUUGGGGAGCUGGAGCAAUAAUGUACUUUCUCACCCUGGUGCGCUAAGUAAAGAGGGUUAUAAUGAGCUGCUCCUUUAUUUUUGAACUUGGUAAUGCUAGAUUGCAAGUUAGUGUUGCCAUUUGCUUACUUCUGACUUGUGUGCCUCUCUCUUUAUUUGUUAUUGACGGUUUACCUUUCUGUUUGUAACUUUUUCUAUUCAUUGAUGUUUCUGUUGA